rnacentral:rRNA from 1 species
UUCCGGUUGAUCCCGCCGGAGGCCACUGCUAUCGGAGUUCGAUUAAGCCAUGCGAGUCGAGAGGGUUUAGGCCCUCGGCGGACUGCUCAGUAACACGUGGAUAACCUGCCCUAAGGUGGAGAAUAACCCCGGGAAACUGGGGAUAAUACUCCAUAGAUUAGAGAUACUGGAAUGUUCUUUAGUCAAAAGUUCUGGCGCCUUAGGAUGGAUCUGCGGUCGAUUAGGUUGUUGUUGGGGUAACGGCCCAACAAGCCUGUAAUCGAUACGGGUUGUGGGAGCAAGAGCCCGGAGAUGGAAUCUGAGACACGAUUCCAGGCCCUACGGGGCGCAGCAGGCGCGAAAACUUUACAAUGCAGGAAACUGUGAUAAGGGAACUCCGAGUGCCCGUAUACGCGGGCUGUCCAGGUGUUUAAAAGUCAUCUGAAGAAAGGGCCGGGCAAGACCGGUGCCAGCCGCCGCGGUAAUACCGGCGGCUCGAGUGGUGGCCACUAUUAUUGGGCUUAAAGGGUCCGUAGCUGGACCGAUAAGUCUCUUGGGAAAUCCGCCGGCUCAACCGGCGGGCGUCUAAGGGAUACUGUUAGUCUAGGGACCGGGAGAGGUGAGAGGUACUCCGGGGGUAGGAGUGAAAUCCUGUAAUCCCCGGGGGACCACCGAUUGCGAAGGCAUCUCACCAGAACGGCUCCGACAGUGAGGGACGAAAGCUGGGGGAGCAAACCGGAUUAGAUACCCGGGUAGUCCCAGCCGUAAACUAUGCGCGUUAGGUGUCCUGGUGACCACGAGUCACCUGGGUGCCGAAGGGAAACCGUGAAACGUGCCGCCUGGGAAGUACGGUCGCAAGGCUGAAACUUAAAGGAAUUGGCGGGGGAGCACCACAACGGGUGGAGCCUGCGGUUUAAUUGGAGUCAACGCCGGGA